rnacentral:tRNA from 1 species
GUAGUCGUGGCCGAGUGGUUAAGGCGAUGNCCGCGCAGGUUCGAAUCCUGCCGACUACG